CUGCUGAGGAGAUAUCAUAUGAACAUGUCCGUCUAUACCCGCAGCGGUAAGAAUUAGAUGUUCUCCUGAUAUUGCAUCAGUUGAAGCUCCAGUAACAAGUUCUGGUGAAACAUUUGGCAUUAUAUUGGGAUUACCUGAUUUGCCUAUGCCGGCUAUUUUCCCGUCUUUAAUACCGACAUCUGCUUUUACAACACCAAGUAUCGGGUCUAUUAUUGUCACAUUUGUGAUUACAGUAUCAAGUGAUCCGUCGCCGGAAGUCGCCAUAUUGUCUAGUCCCAUACCAUCUCU
rnacentral:sRNA from 1 species